AUGCCGUAAUAAUGCAACGAUUAUUGGAACAUGCAUUGACCCUCUCUAUCUUUGCUGCAAACAUUGAGUUACGCAAUGGAUUUCUGAACUGCGCCCAGAAACGAAGAAGACAUCUACUGAAAUUUCCUAGGCAUUACCCGGGCACACAUCGAUGGAUUCCUCGCAUCCUGCUUCCUUUCCUCCAGUAAAAUCUUAUUUUAGCA